rnacentral:rRNA from 1 species
AUUGAACGCUGGCGGCAUGCCUAACACAUGCAAGUCGAACGAGUGGCGGACGGGUGAGUAAUUUCUUGGAACGUGCCCGAUCGAGGGGGAUAACUGCUGGAAACGGUGGCUAAUCCCGCAUACCAUCGGAUCGGCCGAGAUGGGAUUAGCUAGUCGGUGGGGUAAUGGCUGACCUAGGCGACGAUCCCUAGCUGGUCUGAGAGGAUGACCAGCCACACUGGAACUGAGACACGGCCCAGACUCCUACGGGAGGCAGCAGUGGGGAAUCUUGGACAAUGGGCGCAAGCCUGAUGCAGCCAUGCCGCGUGGAUGAAGAAGGCCUUCGGGUUGUAAAGUACUUUUGGCGGGGAGGCGGUAUCUGCAGAAGAAGCACCGGCUAACUACGUGCCAGCAGCCGCGGUAAUAC